CUUGCUCCGCGUGUACUCACGGGAGGACUCGCAGACGUUACUGCCUUCUUGCGUGCCCCGGCCACCCCCGGGCGGCUUGUAGCCGGUGCGCGGGGUGGCUGGGGCUACGUGCAGAGCUGUCGCGGAGCCGGAACAGCAGCGGUGAAGCCCCUCGGCUCGGCCGAGACCGCCGUGCCCAUUGCUCGCCUCGGUUGCCGCCGCUUUAGCCGCAGCCGCUGCUGCCGCCGCCGGGGGAGAGGCAGCCUAUUGUCUUUCUCCGCGGCGAAGGUGAGGAGCUGUCUCGGCUCGGCCCGCGGGGGAGCCCCGGGAGCCGCACGGUGGCAUUUUUCAACUCCGCUGGAGCCAAUGCCCAGGAGGAACAAAGGGUGUGCUGCCAGCCCCUGGCUCACCCAGUGGCCUCGUCCCAGAAAAAGCCAGAGGUAGCGGCCCCAGCCCCAGAGAGUGGGGGUGAGUCUGUGUUUGGGGAGACCCACCGGGCCCUGCAGGGGGCCAUGGAGAAGCUGCAGCGACUUUAUGGAAGGAGAAGGUGGACCUGAAGGAGCGGGUAGAGAAACUAGAGCUUCAAUUCAUCCACCUCUCAGGACAGACAGACACCAUAGAAAGUACAUCAGCCAGGGGGCAGUGUCAGAGACGCAGCACUGGGAGAGGAGGACAUCGUCAGGCUGGCCCAGGACCAGGAGGAGAUGAAGGCUUUUAUCCUAGAUCACCACUGGAUUGCUGACAGAUAGAGGACGUGGGACCGUGACUAUCACCCCUAAUCUGCAGUGGAUUUGGCUCUCGGCACUCCCAGGCUGGGAGCUGGAUACCUGCCCUGGCAGCAUGACUCAGACUGCAUGACAGGUACGGCGUGCCCAGGAUGAUGUGCCCAGGCCUCUGGCCGCCUGAGUCCAGCCCCCCACACAACCCCCUCCAAGCUCCCAGCCCCUACACCAUAAACCAUGAGCUCUGUGCCCUCUCUGAUGGUUCCACAUCUGCCACCUUCGGCAUGGAGCCUGUUGUAAGAGCCCCCAGGCUCAGCCAUGGAGACCUUGAGCAGUGGCACUGAGUCCUGUGGCUGGCAGGGAGGGAAGUGAGACAGCCAGCAGCACAAGGACAGAAAGAGGAAAGAGCAAGGCUGCAGCUCUAGAAGGGAGGGGCAGGCAGCCUGGCUCUGAGGCUCCAGGUAUGCCCCCUGUGUGGAGCUGGGGCAGCGGGGCGGGCAGACCAUUCAUGCAGCAGGCAGUGAGGCAUGUACCUACCAUGGCUGAUGCUCCUCAGGGGCCACUGAUAGUGAUUCUGAAAGACAGCAUCAAAUCACAUGGCAGGUCCCAUGCAUGGGUGGGGCAGGCCUGGGGGUGGCGGACACACGCACACGCCAGAUUGUGCACACACAUGCUGUGAGGCCCCACGGCCCGCAUGCACACUCUAACACAUGCCCACAAACAACACGCAUACGUCGCCCUCUCCGCCACCUCCCGGUGCCCAACACCCUCACCAGCCGGCACGUGCCGCAUGGAUCUGGGGCGUGCAGCCACUCGGCACACUGAAGCACAUGCGUGGGCAGAGUCACAACACAGAUGCUCACCCGCACACAGAGGCAUUUGCACCAGCUCCCUGCACACUCGUGCCUGGCGUGCUCAGAGGACCACCCAUCCUGCUCAGGGAGACAGGGCUUGCUCACUAAUGUCCGGCUGUCAUUUCUCCACCUAAGAGCCUUCCAUGGCUCCCUACUGCCUACAGCGUUGAAUCCCAACAAGUCAUACUCUUUGGACUUUGAAGGUUCUCCACCCUGUGCCCCACCCUCCCCACAGAGCUCUUCCUCAUUCUGUCUCUGUUCCCUGCUUUGGCCAGUGGCUAUCCUCAAUGUGACCCACACUACACCUCUGCCCACACUGCAGCUCUUUACCCAGUUACCCUCCAGUUCCUCACAACGUAUGCCUAUCUCAGUCAUGCCCCGGACUGCAUUGAAGCCAGGCUGCCUUGAAGAAGCUCUCCCAGACUGCCCUUUUCCCCAAGGC